GAGUAAUACGUGAGUAACCUGCCCUUGACUCUGGGAUAAGCCUGGGAAACUGGGUCUAAUACUGGAUACGACGGCGCAUCGCAUGGUGUGUUGUGGAAAGGGUUUUACUGGUUUUGGAUGGGCUCACGGCCUAUCAGCUUGUUGGUGGGGUAAUGGCUCACCAAGGCGACGACGGGUAGCCGGCCUGAGAGGGUGACCGGCCACACUGGGACUGAAACACGGCCCAGACUCCUACGGGAGGCAGCAGUGGGGAAUAUUGCACAAUGGGCGGAAGCCUGAUGCAGCGACGCCGCGUGAGGGAUGACGGCCUUCGGGUUGUAAACCUCUUUCAGCACGGAAGAAGCGAGAGUGACGGUACGUGCAGAAGAAGCGCCGGCUAACUACGUGCCAGCAGCCGCGGUAAUACGUAGGGCGCAAGCGUUGUCCGGAAUUAUUGGGCGUAAAGAGCUCGUAGGCGGUUUGUCGCGUCUGCUGUGAAAGCCCGGGGCUUAACCCCGGGUGUGCAGUGGGUACGGGCAGACUUGAGUGCAGUAGGGGAGACUGGAAUUCCUGGUGUAGCGGUGAAAUGCGCAGAUAUCAGGAGGAACACCGAUGGCGAAGGCAGGUCUCUGGGCUGUUACUGACGCUGAGGAGCGAAAGCAUGGGGAGCGAACAGGAUUAGAUACCCUGGUAGUCCAUGCCGUAAACGUUGGGCACUAGGUGU
rnacentral:rRNA from 1 species